GACGAACGCUGGCGGCGUGCCUAAUACAUGCAAGUCGAGCGGACGAAUCGAAAGCUUGCUUUUGAUUCGUUAGCGGCGGACGGGUGAGUAACACGUGGGCAACCUGCCCUGUAGACGGGGAUAACACCGAGAAAUCGGUGCUAAUACCGGAUAACACGAACUGUCGCAUGACGCUUCGUUGAAAGACGGCGCACGCUGUCGCUACAGGAUGGGCCCGCGGCGCAUUAGCUAGUUGGUGAGGUAACGGCUCACCAAGGCGACGAUGCGUAGCCGACCUGAGAGGGUGAUCGGCCACACUGGGACUGAGACACGGCCCAGACUCCUACGGGAGGCAGCAGUAGGGAAUCUUCCGCAAUGGACGAAAGUCUGACGGAGCAACGCCGCGUGAGCGAAGAAGGCCUUCGGGUCGUAAAGCUCUGUUGUUAGGGAAGAACAAGUAACGCAGUAACUGGCGUUACCGUGACGGUACCUAACGAGAAAGCCACGGCUAACUACGUG
rnacentral:rRNA from 1 species